rnacentral:rRNA from 1 species
AACGAACGCUGGCGGCAGGCCUAACACAUGCAAGUCGAACGCUCCGCAAGGGGAGUGGCAGACGGGUGAGUAACACGUGGGAAUCUUCCUAUCGGUACGGAAUAGCUCAGGGAAACUUGGGGUAAUACCGCAUACGCCCGAAAGGGGAAAGAUUUAUCGCCGAUAGAUGAGCCCGCGUCUGAUUAGCUAGUUGGUGAGGUAAUGGCUCACCAAGGCGACGAUCAGUAGCUGGCUGAGAGGAUGACCAGCCACACUGGGACUGAGACACGGCCCAGACUCCUACGGGAGGCAGCAGUGGGGAAUAUUGGACAAUGGGCGCAAGCCUGAUCCAGCCAUGCCGCGUGAGUGACGAAGGUCUUCGGAUUGUAAAGCUCUUUUGCCAGGGACGAUAAUGACGGUACCUGGAGAAUAA